GACGAACGCCGGCGGCGUGCUUAACACAUGCAAGUCGAACGGUAAGGCCCUUCGGGGUACACGAGUGGCGAACGGGUGAGUAACACGUGGGUGAUCUGCCCUGCACUUCGGGAUAAGCCUGGGAAACUGGGUCUAAUACCGGAUAGGACCACUGCCUGCAUGGGUGGUGGUGGAAAGCUUUUGCGGUGUGGGAUGGGCCCACGGCCUAUCAGCUUGUUGGUGGGGUGAGGGCCUACCAAGGCGACGACGGGUAGCCGGCCUGAGAGGGUGACCGGCCACACUGGGACUGAGAUACGGCCCAGACUCCUACGGGAGGCAGCAGUGGGGAAUAUUGCACAAUGGGCGCAAGCCUGAUGCAGCGACGCCGCGUGAGGGAUGACGGCCUUCGGGUUGUAAACCUCUUUCAGCACCGACGAAGCGCAAGUGACGGUAGGUGCAGAAGGAGGACCGGCCAACUACGUGCCAGCAGCCGCAGUAA
rnacentral:rRNA from 1 species